rnacentral:lncRNA from 1 species
ACCUCUAUUCUCAAGAUUCUCUUGUUUUCUCACCAUCCCAUUUGAGAUGCUUGUUAGUAACUGUUACAGGUCUUCUUUACCACUGAGGAAAGACAGAAUCCUACUAGAGGCCAGAAAGAAUGUUCCAGACAUGGGUGGAAGGCCCUCACUCCCGACUGACUUCAAUACGCCUGAAGGUAGGGAGUGCUCCAGGUCUGCCCCCAGGCUCCAAGGGUGGGUCUCCUAGGGGCUGGAAAAUGCCCCACCAAUCUGGCUAAGAUAAGGAAAGGGUAUGAAGAGAAAGUUACAGAAAUUUGAAGGGUUAAGCUAAGUUGCUGAGAGUUAGUAUAAGUUACAGAGAAAGUAAGGUUAAACAAAGAGAAAGAGAAAAGAAGGUAAAAAGAGCAGGAAGCUAGGGAAGAAAAGAGACUAAAAGAAGAGGAAGCUAGAGAGCUAAAGAGAGAUAAAAGACAAGAGAGGAACAUAUACUGGCCACAGUAGUUAGGGAACCUAGGAAGACAGUACCUGGCAACAGAGGAGAAUUCCUGGCUAAAGAUCAGUGUGCCUAAUGC